AGCAGCCGCGGUAAUUCCAGCUCCAAUAGCGUAUAUUAAAGUUGCUGCAGUUAAAAAGCUCGUAGUUGAAUUUCGGGACUAAUAUGUCGGUCGUGCCUCGGUACGUACUGGUAUUUUUGGUUUCUCCCUUCUGACGAACCUUGAUGUCAUUAAUUUGGUGUCUUGGGAAAUCAGGACUGUUACUUUGAAAAAAUUAGAGUGUUUAAAGCAGGCUCACGCUUGAAUACAUUAGCAUGGAAUAAUGAAAUAGGACGUUUGAUUCUAUUUUGUUGGUUUCUAGGAUCGACGUAAUGAUUAAUAGGGAUAGUUGGGGGCAUUAGUAUUCAAUUGUCAGAGGUGAAAUUCUUGGAUUUAUUGAAGACUAACUACUGCGAAAGCAUUUGCCAAGGAUGUUUUCAUUAAUCAAGAACAAAAGUUAGGGGAUCGAAGACGAUCAGAUACCGUCGUAGUCUUAACCAUAAACUAUGCCGACUAGGGAUCGGAUGAUGUUAAUUUUUUAAUGACUCACUCGGCGCCUUAC
rnacentral:rRNA from 1 species